UGGUCCGGGCGAGCCGGACGCUCCGGAGGCACCGGGAGGACUGAGAGCCCAACGCCGCGCGCCGUCCACUGCCGGUCAGCUGCUUGCUGCGCCUCGUCGCUGCGUGUUCGCGGCCCGGGAAUCCGGGUCUGGAGGCCGCCGGCCCGCGCUGGGGUCGCUCCCCAGACUUCCUCCAAACCCCCCAGGCUCGGGAACCGAAACCAAGGUGAUCUGAGACUGCUGCAAUCCCUUUGUGAGAAGGUUCCGGAAUCCCAAAUCCGGUGCUUUCCUCGCGAGAGGGAAGUUACAGGUACUUUAAGGAAAAUUGCACCCCGGUGUUGUCAGACAUUUCACCUGCGCCUUCGUCCUUGAAAGACCCUACACGCGAAUGCGUCUUUUGAUGGUAAACGCAGUCAAGAAUUAUUUUAGAAAAAUCUUUUCUGCGUGCCCUCGGGAUGGCUCAAGUAAAGGGUCCAUGCUGUGGAGAGAACCGCCUUUGAAAGUUGUCCUCAGUCCACAUGCCGUCCGUCCCCCACCCCCGCUACACACAUAAAUAAAUAAAAUGUAAUAAGACGUUAAAGGUAUUUUAGGACGGUUAGGAGCUCGAUUCCCAACACCCACAGGGCAGUUCACAACCAUCUGUAGCUCCAGUUCCGGGGGAUCUGAUGCCCUCUGCUGACACACAUGGGGUGCACACACAAACAUGAAGGCAAAACGCCCUUACACUUAAAAUUAGUAUUUUCUGUAUCGGUGGUACAGCCUCAUCUUUACGUCAAACCAGAGUUCACUUCCUCUCAAGAUGCAAGACCUACUUGAGCCUACUUUAACUCCAAGUCUUAAAUGGGUUUGGGUUUUUUGUUUGUUUUGUUUCGUUUUCGCUUUCUUUUUUUCCUCCCUUCUUUUCAAAGUAGCUUUGUUUUGAGACACUACAUACUUUGGAAAACGAGAGACCUGAGGUGGCGACAACCACUCUCAGCAACUGAAUAGGGACAAUCGAAGCUUUAUUCCAGUGUUCUUUGAACUUUCUCGAGCAUGAAGCGGCUUCUAAGAAGGACUCACGUGGAUAUCACAUAACAAAGAUGAGAUUAGUGACAGAAAAGCACACUUCGAGUGGACUCCUGUGUAGGAAGAGGUUUACCCCUCCAAACUCGUCAUCUGCAGGGUACUGAAGUAAGGAGUCUGGCCCUUCAAGGCAGUAUGUUGAGGUGAACCGAUGUGGACACUGCCUAGGUGGCCAUUUUAAAGGCGGCAAAAGAAGUGAGGAGCACAUCUGGAGUGGGUUAGAAAGGCUUUCUGUUCGUACUCACCCACCUUUCAACCCUGCAACAAAGGUGCAUCCGUUAAGACUGGCAAUCAUUAAUCAUUUAAGCUAACCAUUAUGGACUAUGCCUCCGGGUACUUCAGAUCGUCUUCCAGAGUGAAAAAGGGAGCCCAUUUGGAGGUUGAGAACAGCAGAAGACAUCAAGCUGCACGUGCAGAAGCAGACCCAGCCUAGAGGAGGGGGUGCCUUUGACCUCUUGCAGAUUUGAGUGGAGGGGGAGUGUCUGGCGGCUCCCUGUCCUCUCGUGGCAGGACGUGGUACUGCAGCGGCACUGAGCUGACAACCACCCAGAAGCCUGCUUUUGGAAGGAAACUUCUCAUGUAGAACCGACCUAGAUGAUGACCCCCAGACUGAACUGGGGUGCAGAGAAUGAGGAAGCUCCUUCCAGGAAGGAGAAACAAGCACGGCUGGAGAAACAGAAGUGAAGUGUGUCGAAACAGCACUUGACUGCAAUAGUGUAAAGUCUGGGGAACAAUUUGGAGCUAGAUUGAUUACCUUAGGACCAAGCCAAAGAAUUUAUAUGUUGUAACUAAUGGGAAAUGAUGGGAAUUUUAUUUUUAUCAUAAAACUAUAUAUAAUUUUUAUUAUAAAACUAUACAUAUGUAGUAUAGAAAGUUAAGUUGUACACAUUGUAAAGAAGAAAGUAAAAAUCGUUUUUACCUGUUCUGGUGUACUUUACCCAUAAGCUCAGCCCUCAGCAGGCUAAGACAAGCAGGUUGAAAUGAGUCUCUGCCUCACAGACAUGGGAAAGGACCACCUCAUCCAAUGCUCACAUCUUUUUGUGGCAUGAUGUCGAUCCCCAUCUUCAACUUCACUGAGGCAUAACUGACAAAUAAAAAUGAUAAACAGUCAAGGUUUCCAGUGCCAGGAUUUAAUAAGUUUAGGCACUGGAAAUGACCACUGUAGCCAUCUGAUAACCACACAGUAUUAGCAUUUCCUUUCAUGGUAUUUGUCUUUUCUUCUUAAAAUUAUUUUAAUAUAGUCAUUUAUUAUAAUAGUCACAAUAAAGUUUAUAAAUAUGUGGAAAA